rnacentral:lncRNA from 1 species
GUGCGCUGCUCGAGCUUGCAGGAAAGCCUGUCUCUCCGAGUGUGGCUGGGGAGGGGGCUGGGUUUCUUUUUGUUUCUAGAAGUCCCCUUCACCCUCGUUUGCCCCCGCGUACCGCCGAGAGGAUCGCGUGGAAUGGCUGCAGGGCUCCAGGGCGCACCCCACCCCACGCACGCCCUCUGGGGCGCCAGAAGGCGCGGCCCCGGGGGGAUCCCUGUUCCCAGGAGGAAGCGCGGAGUGGAGCUGCUGGAUCCUAAGACAAUGCCACACUUUCCGUUUUGAAGAACUUCCAAAGACUUUCAGUAGGUGGAAUGUGGAGAGAGUCAGAAGAGCUGAACAGAAUCUGGAGCCUGCUCCAAUGCAGCCUUGCUCCUGGCUGGUGACAUGUGGAUGACACUCUAUAACUAUCAGAUGGUCCCACAAAUACCAACAUUGCUGCUCCAUCUGAAUCAAAUCCUCCAUACCCACAAGGGUUGUUUGUCCUCUUUUCUGCCUGAUGUCACAGCUGGGAUACCUUGAUGUCACAAAGUGGAAGAUGAAGAGGCAUAGUCUAACAUGUGGAAGAAAAUGUGAUGCUGGGGUCCAGUUUUUCUUGAGUGGUUGUGCAUUUCUAUCUGCUUUUCUUAGCUCUGUUCAUUUCCCUGCUCCAGUAUUCACUUGCUGUUGCCAGGGACCCAUGAGCCUCGGAGUUGAAGUCAAGAUAGCUCCCUGGCUCUGGAUUUUGCAGUAAUGAAUGCACCCACCAAGGUAAUAAUAAACUCGCAGUCUCA